rnacentral:lncRNA from 10 species
GAGGCCUGGAAGGUUUCCAUGCCAGCGGAGGGAUUGGAGAAAGACUUGGAAAAACAAUGCCGACCAUUGUUUCCUUAGCCUGCUUUGGCUCCCCUCAGUCUGCUCUGUGAAGACACUGAAUCCAUUGACUAAGUCACUGACAUUUUCCUAGCAGAGGAUUUUUUCCCCUUAUUUGUAGGAGGUGGCAGUAGGAUUUUCUGGCAGUCCAAGACUUCAAGCACCAGAAGGGCAGAACGAACCCCUGUCUGUUUUGCUCAUUGUUCUAUCUUUAGCAAAUAUGAAGUCAUUAACACACAUAAACACAACCAAGUACUGUAUACCUUGCAGCGAUUGCUCACAUGAACUGAUCUGAUACCAAGUGGAAGUGACCUGCUCUCAGGCUCAGCACUUAAAGAAGCUUCUGAUGAACACAUCCCUGCCCAAUAAGAAGUUCCAGAAGGAAUUAAAACCAAAACUUAAAUGUUGAAAAGAAAGAGAUCAUCAGUAGCCACCAAAGAAGUUCAUCCAUGUUUUCCCAUAUGACAUCCAGUGAAAACAUAGCUGCAACAUCAGAGAUCACCAUUUGAAAAUCCAAGAAAAUGAGUUUGCUCUAAGUCAACAAAAUUGCUUCCUUGAAUCAAUACUGCCAACCUUUCCAAAUAUUCCUAAGACCCAUGAUACACAUACCAAAAAAAAAAGGUGUGUUGAAGGUGUCCAGAGUGGCAUGGGUCUGGUUCACAGCAGAACUACCACCUUUGGAUGUGGCAGAGAGCAAGAUAUACACUUUCUAUAACUCUAAAGAAUAAUCAAGGGAGUCACAGUGAAUCACAAGACUGCAAAUUCCUCGAGAGGUACAUGAAGCAGUGGAAAUAUGUUUGCACUGGAGUCAAACAGCCAUGGCUUGGAAGUCCAACUCUUCAUCUUCCAGCUCUGUGACCUUGCGAAGUUACUUAAUUUUAAAUGAAAUAAUGUAAUAAAGCACUUAACACAAUAGCUAUUAUUAUUGUUACUAUCUUUUUAUUCCUAAAGAUCUUAGUAACGCUUUGAAGAUCAUCACUUUUUCGAAAAUAUGUGUUGGCUGAUUUUUAUUUCAUUGAUCAAACUGUCUAAAUCCAGUCAUGUUAAUAUUUGGCACUAUUAGAAAGUAACUCA